rnacentral:rRNA from 1 species
UAGGGAAUAUUGCACCAUGGACGGAAGUCUGAUGCAGCAACGCCGCGUGAGUGAUGAAGGCCUUCGGGUCGUAAAACUCUUUUCAAGGGGAAGAGGAAGGACGGUACCCUUGGAAUAAGCAUCGGCUAACUACGUGCCAGCAGCCGCGGUAACACGUAGGAUGCAAGCGUUAUUCGGAUUUACUGGGCGUAAAGCGCGUGUAGGCGGUUGGGAUAGUUGGAUGUGAAAGCUCCCGGCUUAACUGGGAGAGGUCGUUCAAAACUUCCCAACUAGAGUUUGGUAGAGGAAAAUGGAAUUCCGGGUGUAGUGGUGAAAUGCGUAGAUAUCCGGAGGAACACCAGUGGCGAAAGCGAUUUUCUGGACCGAUACUGACGCUCAGACGCGAAAGCUAGGGUAGCAAACGGGAUU